GGCAGCCCUUGAAUGCUUCCGGCAUUUCAUCUGGCGCCCGGUACAUCCUCUUUAGGAGCGUCAGACCAUCCGUGACCUCCUGGCGGUGCUGAUGCAUGUGGAGGAUGAGGAUGAGGAGGUGGCCAAGACUGCGAGGGAGACCCUCAAGGAGGCCGCGGAGGUCCUGAAAUGGCACCUGAAGGACAGCGUUCUGGCGGAGGACACCUUCAGCUUGCAGGAGCUGCUGCAUAAGAUCUCCAAGCGCCUGGUCAGUGCCCACCCUGAGGCAUGGGAGUCAAGGGUCCUUAUGCCCGGUGGGUGGAAGGAGCCCCCUUUUUGACCCCAGUCUCUUCUCUAGAUCCAUCACUGCAGCACCAGGAGAGAGUUGGAGGAACAGGUGUAUGGCUGCCUCCGUAUCUUUAAGAGCCAACGUCCAUCGGCCAGGAAGGUGGCAGCCAUGUUGGUCGGCCACAUUCUUCACAAGAACUACAAGAUGUGUGCCGACAGGAACCUCUACACCUACCACGCCUGUAAGUGGGGCCUGAGAGGCGCUGGGCCUUGGGGAGAGAGCCUCCCUGGGGGGUCCAUGUGCCAUCCCUCACCUGCUAACCUGCCUUUCCUCCUCCUUUCCUCUCUUCUUCCAGGGCUAAUUAACCUCUUUGACGACUGUGACCCUGAAGUCAGGCGAGUUGGCAGGGAGACUAAGACCAUCCUUGCCAGGGUCACCGCCCUACACCACCAACACAGGCUGCGGGCUGCUCUUCGGCGCUUGGCGGCUCCCUGCAGGCGGGAGAGGUACCCCCCCGAGUACGCCAAGAAGCCACCCGCCUGAUGGACUGGUAAGGGAGGGAGGGAGGAAAAGGAGGUGGAGGGAGGAAGGGAGGGGGAGGAAAUGGAGGAAGGAAGGAAAAGAGGAAGCAAUGGAGAAGGGAGGGAGGAGGUAAGAAGGGUUGUAGGAGGAAUAGAGGGAGAGAAGGAAGGGAGAUGGAGAAAGGAAGGAGGAGGGGAAAGGAGGGAGGGAGGAAAUUGGGAGAGGGAGGAAGGGUGGAAAAAAGAAGGAAGGAAGGAUGGAGAAAGGGAAGGAGGGAGGGUUAGUGGGAAUGAUGGAAGGGAGGAGGGAGGGAGAGAGAGAGAAAAGAAAGAAAGAGAAAGGAAAGAAAGAGAGAAAGGAAAGUGAAGGAAAGAAAAGGAAGGAAGGAAGGAAAAAAAGAAGAGGGAGGAGAGGAGGUUGGUUUUUUAAAGAGCUCAGUCA
rnacentral:lncRNA from 11 species